GGGGGGUGCAAGCGUUAUUCGGAAUCACUGGGCGUAAAGAGCGCGUAGGCGGUCUCUUAAGUCAGAUGUGAAAGCCCGGGGCUCAACCCCGGAAGUGCAUUUGAAACGAAGGGACUUGAGUAUGGGAGAGGGAAGUGGAAUUCCUGGUGUAGCGGUGAAAUGCGUAGAUAUCAGGAGGAACACCGGUGGCGAUGGCGACUUCCUGGACCAAUACUGACGCUGAGGCGCGAAGGCGUGGGGAGCAAACAGGAUUAGAUACCCUGGUAGUCCACGCAGUAAACGUUGAACACUAGGUGUAGCGGGUAUUGACCCCCUGCUGUGCCGCAGCUAACGCAUUAAGUGUUCCGCCUGGGGAGUACGGCCGCAAGGCUA
rnacentral:rRNA from 1 species